AACGAACGUUAGCGGCGCGCCUAACACAUGCAAGUCGAACGAGAAAGGGCUUUCGAGCCCCGGUAAAGUGGCGCACGGGUGAGUAACACGUAGGUAAUCUACCCCGGAGUGGGGGAUAACGUUCCGAAAGGAGCGCUAAUACCCCAUACGAUCGAAAGAUGAAAGCGGGCCUCUUCAUGAAAGCUCGCGCCCUGGGAUGAGCCUGCGGCCCAUCAGGUAGUAGGUGGGGUAAAAGCCUACCUAGCCUUAGACGGGUAGCUGGUCUGAGAGGAUGAUCAGCCACACUGGAACUGAGACACGGUCCAGACUCCUACGGGAGGCAGCAGUGGGGAAUCUUGCGCAAUGGGCGAAAGCCUGACGCAGCGACGCCGCGUGAGUGAUGAAGGCCUUAGGGUUGUAAAGCUCUGUGGAGAGGGACGAAUAAGGUAUGGUUAAUAGUCAUAUUGAUGACGGUACCUCUUUAGCAAGCACCGGCUAACUCUGUGCCAGCAGCCGCGGUAA
rnacentral:rRNA from 1 species